rnacentral:rRNA from 1 species
UACGUAGGGUGCGAGCGUUAAUCGGAACUACUGGGCGUAAAGCGUGCGCAGGCGGUUUUGUAAGCCAGAUGUGAAAUCCCCGGGCUUAACCUGGGAAUGGCAUUUGGGACUGCAAGGCUUGAGUGCGGCAGAGGAGACUGGAAUUCCUGGUGUAGCAGUGAAAUGCGCAGAUAUCAGGAGGAACACCAAUGGCGAAGGCAGCACUCUGGGACGGUACUGACGCUGAGACGCGAAAGCGUGGGGAGCAAACAGG